UAUCAUCGUUAAGGAACGACCAAAUUAUAAUUACAUAUAAAUAUUAAUUUUUAUAUUAUAUAUAUGUAUAUAUGUUACGAGUGUAUAAUUAUGUUAUAUAUAUUAUAUUUGUGAUUCAUUCUAUCGAAGAGCAACGCCGCGGUUUUCGCAAUUGAUGACCAAGGGUACGUCAGUUUGAUCAAAAUAUUUAAGUUUCUGAUAAUUACCAACUGCUUCGUCGAUAAUAACGGAAUGAAGAUGAGCACUUACCAGCUGAACUUCCGCAGCGACGAGAUCCUGCGUCGAUGGCCUCCCGAGUGUCCCAGCACUCCCAUCAACGGCCAGCGUCGCUCCAAUCGUCUACCUCCAUCACUUGCUGCUCCAUAUGCUUCCAUCGCGUUGACGAUAAUCCAAAGAUCCGCAUCGACGUAAUCCAAUUACGGGCGCACAACACUUGAUACACGAAUGCACUGUAUAUCACAUUAUUAGGCUUUAUUAUACACUGCCUUAUGCACUUGA